AUUGAACGCUGGCGGCAGGCCUAACACAUGCAAGUCGAGCGGAGCGGCGGACGGGUGAGUAAUGCCCAGGAAUCUGCCUGGUCGUGGGGGAUAACGUCCGGAAACGGGCGCUAAUACCGCAUCCUAUCAGAUGAGCCUGGUUCGUUUGAGCUAGCUGGUGGGGUAAAGGCCUACAAAGGCGACGAUCCGUAACUGCCCUGAGAGGAUGAUCAGUCAAACUGGAACUGAGACACGGUCCAGACUCCUACGGGAGGCAGCAGUGGGGAAUAUUGGACAAUGGGCGAAAGCCUGACCCAGCCAUGCCGCGUGUGUGAAGAAGGUCUUCGGAUUGUAAAGCACUUUAAGUUGGGAGGCGUUACCAACAGAAUAAGCACCGGCUAACUUCGUGCCAGCAGCCGCGGUAAUUC
rnacentral:rRNA from 1 species